UUCUGUUUAUGAGAAUGCACUCACCUCCCUCAAACUCUGUCUGGCAGUUCCCAGAGUUCUCGUUGAGACUCUCCUCCUCAUUAAUGAUGAUGUUCUCGAUGUCCUU